rnacentral:rRNA from 1 species
CGAGUUCUCCACUUCUCCUAAGAACAGAGGUACGAUAGAUAAGCCCCGUCCCCGAAUUCAAAUCCGCCAAAUCUGGUAGUACGACAGCCACGCCGCUUUCCCUCCCCCGUCUCCCUCCCAAACCCCAAUCAUUCCCUCCUCCGCCUUCUCCGAAAUACUCCAAACCACCAAAUCAAACCGAGAGCAAUCGAAAUCCCAAAUCCCACCUCUCGAAUUUAGCACAGGCAUUCCCAAAUCGCGCGGUUCUGAUGCCGAAGGCGCACGAGGAGGAGGUGCCGGCGGCGGGGGCGGACAGCGAGGAGCUCGAGCCGCUCUUCGACUACUCCCGCGUGCAGCCCACCAUCGACUUCUGCUUCGACGAUUCCGACCUCGAGAAGUCGGACAUCUUCGUCCACUGCAACAAGCGCCCCAAGGUGCCCGCCGACAACGCGAACGCUGUCGAGGGGGGUAAGGCUAAUGAGAAGGGCGACGCCGGCAUAAAGAAGGCCACGGUGGUGAAUUUGGAUGAUGAGGAUUGGCUGGCUCCGCCGCCGCUGAAGCCUCUGCUUAGCACUGAAGUAUGCAAGGAUAAAACGAUGCACGAGCUGAGGUUAAAGAAACAAGAGGUAGAAAAACUGUCUGAUGAUGCAUUUGAAAAGGUUGUUGAAACUGUUAAGAAAGACAUGGCAGCCAAGAAGCCGCCUGAACCUAUAUUUCUUGAUGAGCCAACCGAAUCAGAGAAAUCCAAAGAAAAGAUCUGCAUAGUGGUUCAGGAAAAGGAUGGAAGGCAGCAGUUCCGUGUAUGCAAGGAUGAGAAGUUCGACAAGCUUUUCAAGGCGUAUGCUAAGAAGGUCCAGGUCAGCCCAUCCGAUCUGACUUUCGUAUUUGAUGGCGACAAAAUAAACCCAGCAAGUACACCCCAGGACCUUGACCUGGAGGAUGAAGACAUGAUUGAGGUGCACCAUAAGCCAACUCUAGACAAGCCAGCUGAAGCAUACGUGAAGAAAUCGCGAGAAAAGAUACUUAUAAUGAUUCAGGACAAAGAUGUGAAGCUGCAGUUCCGUGUAUACAAGGAUGAGAAAUUUGACAAGCUUUUCAAGGUGUAUGCUAAGAAGGUUCAACUCAAGCCAUCUGAUCUGAUUUUCAUAUUCGAUGGUGACAAAAUAAACUCGGCUAGUACGCCCCAGGACCUUGACUUGGAGAAUGAUGACAUGAUUGAGGUGCGCCAUAAAUCCCACUGAUGGCUAGGAGCUUGGCACGGAGUUAUCUCAAUCUGUAGUUUUGGGCGUCCCUGAGUGGGAUGUUGUUUGGAGGUUGACCUGUUUUCCUUUGCAGUCAGCUGCUCAUAAGACGGGAUUUGCUUGGAUCAAUUUCACGUUAAGUGGACGACUGCGCAAAUCCAAAGUUCCUAAUCACACGGCUCUACCUGUAUGGAUAAUUUCGUUUCUGGAUUCUAUAGGAUAGUUGUCCAGCGGAUGUAACAUAGUGCAUGUGGCUACAUUUGUGUUUAUAAAUUUGGUUUUAGGCAAGCUAGAACUGUUGACGGACGAGCAUGAGGUAAAGAACCAGUAUGAACUUAGGUGAUUUCUGAUACCAUGAACACUGUUGCUACUUGUAUUUCUCUCCAUAGAUUGCAGCCCUUCUUUGCAUCGAUGUGGCUCAUUUUAAUGAAAAACAGCAGGGAAAAAAAAUGUGCUGCAG